UAGCCGUAAACGAUACUCGCUAGGUGUCGCCCACGGUGCGACCGUUGUCGGUGCCGUAGGGAAGCCGUGAAGCGAGCCACCUGGGAAGUACGGCCGCAAGGCUGAAACUUAAAGGAAUUGGCGGGGGAGCACCACAACGGGUGGAGCUUGCGGUUUAAUUGGAUUCAACGCCGGAAAUCUUACCGGGACCGACAGCAACAUGAAGGCCAGGCUGAAGACUUUGCCGGAUUAGCUGAGAGGUGGUGCAUGGCGUGUGACUGU
rnacentral:rRNA from 1 species